rnacentral:rRNA from 1 species
GAACGCUGGCGGCGUGCUUAACACAUGCAAGUCGAACGAAGCACUUUAUUUGAUUUCCUUCGGGACUGAUUAUUUUGUGACUGAGUGGCGGACGGGUGAGUAACGCGUGGGUAACCCGCCUUGUACAGGGGGAUAACAGUUGGAAACGGCUGCUAAUACCGCAUAAGCGCACAGCAUCGCAUGAUGCAGUGUGAAAAACUCCGGUGGUAUAAGAUGGACCCGCGUUGGAUUAGCUAGUUGGUGAGGUAACGGCCCACCAAGGCGACGAUCCAUAGCCGACCUGAGAGGGUGACCGGCCACAUUGGGACUGAGACACGGCCCAAACUCCUACGGGAGGCAGCAGUGGGGAAUAUUGCACAAUGGGCGAAAGCCUGAUGCAGCGACGCCGCGUGAGCGAAGAAGUAUUUCGGUAUGUAAAGCUCUAUCAGCAGGGAAGAUAAUGACGGUACCUGACUAAGAAGCACCGGCUAAAUACGUG